CGCCUUUUCUUUGAGAACGGCCAAUAAGCCAUCCGUCAACAUUCACUUUGAAGAGUAAUUUCGAAUGACUCGGCACUCGCUGAGAGUAAGUCAUAAUAGUAAACGGCAGAGAAAAGUUUUCUCUUUUGUCUGGUGUUAAAUUUAAUACUCUAUCUUUCAUAGCUCGCUUGUAAUUUCUUUCGAAAGUGGAAGUUGACAGGUGGCUAAAAAAAAACGAGUGAAGUAAACAAGCAAAAGCAAAAAGUGAUAAAUUUUCUAACGUACCGUUUAUUUCGAUUUUAGUUUUGCUGGUUGAAAUGGAGCCUUCAAAAGGUGAUACGUGCACUGUGUUGAUGAACUUGUCGGAUGUUUUCAACUACGCUGCCGGAGGAAACCGUUAAGUUAGUUGGAGUAGAAGAGAUCUACAAUGAUGGAUUCGUCUUAUCUUCGACUUGUCUACAGUCCUUCUCUCCAACUAUCGAGCCGCACGCAAUAAAAGUUUGCACUAGAAGUGAGCUUUCUGCUUGGUUAUUUUCAUGUUCUUUCAAAGCCAGUAAAUAAACAUGCAAACAUGUGAUGACUGUUUUGAAUGAUUUAUGAAGAAACUCGACUCUAUAGAACGAUUGACAUCCAACGAGAUUACAACGAACGGUGUUAAGAUAUUCCGAACCAAUAACAUCAUGCUUGAGGACAUUUGGGAUUUAUUUAUUAAGUAUAUUUUAUUAUCAG